GUGGGAACCACCAGAAGGCCCUUGGAGCUGGACCUCAGUGUCUGGGCUGAAUGAUGGGGGUGGAGACCCUUCUUCAGGCAUACUGGGCUGAUGCCAUUUAGGGCUUUAAAGGUCAGCAGCAACACUUUGAAUUGUGCUCACAAACGUACUGGGAGCCAAUGUAGGUCUAUCAGGACUAGAAAUAGAAUAAAGGUAAAGGUAAAGGGGCCCCUGACCAUUAGGUCCAGUCAUGGCUGACUCUGGGGUUGCGGCACUCAUCUCACUUUAUUGGCUGAGGGAGCCGGCGUACAGCUUCCGGGUCAUGUGGCCAGCAUGACUAAGCCGCUUCAGGCAAACCAGAGCAGUGCACGGAAACGCCGUUUACCUUCCUGCCAGAGGGGUACCUAUUUAUCUACUUGCACUUUGACGUGCUUUCGAACUCCUAGGUUGGCAGGAGCAGGGACCGAGCAACAGGAGCUCACCCCGUCAAGGGGAUUCGAAUCGCCGACCUUCUGAUCGGCAAAUCCUAGGCUCUGUGGUUUAACCCACAGCGCCACCCACGUCCCAUAUAUAGAAUACAAAUAGAAUACAACUCAUCUAAGUGAGGAAGACGGGGACUAGGAAACCCAUUGGUCUGGUGUCAAGGUGCUAAUGGUUGAUACAGUGGCGUAGCGUGGGGAGUGCAGGGGGGGCCGGCCGCACCGGGCGCAACAUCUGGGGGGGCGCGCUCGCACUCGCAGCUCUCUGCCCCUACCUGGCUCACUCUCUCUCUCUCACUGCAGUGCUGGCUGUGCGAAUCCGAUCCGAGCCGCUGGGUCGCCGCCCACUGUGGAGGGGGUGGGUGCCAGGCGUGCGGUGCGGAGAGAGAGCGAGGGACUAUCUGGGGGAGGGACAGUGCAGCGGCCGCCCAGCGCAGCGCUGAGCGCGGGAGAGAACCACACCAGACCAGACCAGGCAGCAGCAAGAAGAAGCUGGCAGCGGCGGCAGGUUAGGGGUUGGGGGGCGCAAAUUACUUGCCUUGCCCCGGGUGCUGAUAGGCAAGUUGAUGCCUUCUUUAAACUUGAUAGCUCUCUAAUCCUUUAAACAGAGGACUGUCCACUGUAAGGUAGGCCACACGACUUCCCCAGCCAUGCCUAAGUUGGUGGAGAGGCAACAAGAAAAGUCUCAAAAAAUAUUUUCACUGAUUUUAAUAUAUUAUUAUAUUGUAAUCUGCCCUGGGAUCUUAUGGUGAAGGGUGGUUAAGAAAUUCUAUGAACCAGCCAACCAAAGACCUGGGAAGGGGUGAUACAGAAUUGAUUCCUGAGUUUGAAUGAAUCAGCAAGAUUCAGCCGCUCCCUUUCCAUGUGUGAGAGGGAAAUAUUUUGCUUCUGUAUUGUGGCUGGGAGGGAAAGCAUUCCAUGCCUUCCAUGGGCAGUGGCCUGGAUGCUGAGACCAAGGCACAGCUCCAAGUCACUGGCUGCGAGCUCAUGUUCCAGGCCACCAGGAUCCUGCUGAGGCUCUGUGUUUUUAUUGCAGCUUCUCCCUCCUGCCUGGUGAACUCAACUAGCUCCUCUGCUUGCUCCCCUCAGAAGCUGGCUCGUGCUCUGCUGCCAUGUUGGCCAAGGUGUGGCUGAAGAAGAUGGAGCAGCUGUUGGUGGAUGGCCUGCAGCACAGAAAGAGCAUCCUGAGCAUGGAGUGGCUGCUGGACCUCCUGGUCAGCCUCUACAAAGAGUGCAGUUGCAACUCAUUGCUGAAGAGGGAAGACUCGUCUCUCCUUCAUCCAGUGGGAACGGACCUAUUGAUUAUUGACAGCAAUGUGGGUGAGUUCCUCAGCAACAGUGCCUGAGCAGGCUACCUGGAGUUCACCUUCCGACUGGUGUGAGAGCCUCACUAUCUCCAUCAUGGCCCACAACCUGAGGACCCCAGCUGGUGCAGCUGGGUUAACAACAGGCAUUAUGUGUAUUUUAUGUGUAUUUUAAUGAACUGAAUAAAGUUCAGUUCAGAUCAUGGGGGCAUGGAGAGUGAACUUAACAGUUAAUAUAAACUUAAAAGCUUCCUUUUUUUUUAGUUGCUAUUUUAUUAAUGUUGUUAAUAUUGUUUUAUGGAUUAUAAAUGCCCUACUGAUUUGUUAAUGAUAUAAUAUGACUUUGCUGUAAUUGUGGUGUAUUUUUUAGUUGCUGCUGUUAAUAGUGUUUUAUAGAUUGUAAUUGUUUUAUUGAUGAUUUGUUAAUUAUUUUAUAUGAUUUAUGCUGUAUUUGUGAUGUUCUAUUAUGUUAUUUUUAUUUAUUGUUUCUAAGUCACUUUGAGAUUCCUUUGAAUGAAAAGCGACAUAGAAAUACAAUAAAUCAAAUAAAAUAUUUGAAGUUGUUGAACAAUUUUUGAAAAAUAUGAUAGAAAUGCUGUUUUAAGAUCUGAAGGGCUAUCAUGUUUUGUGAUAAGGCCUACUUAAUGAAAUACUUCUUUUCAAAAGAGAAAGAUUUUGGGACACUGCCACCACAUGUGGAUAAAUAAGUAUUCAUUGUUGAAAGUUUUUAUGCCACUCUAUGUAUUUUCUGUCAUGCUGAAACUUAACAGUCUAAAAUAAGUGUAAUGAUCGGUAUCUGCUUUCUAAAAUUAAUAAACAUUUCCCUCCACACUUACUUGUGGUUUUUAAAACUCAGUUAUUGUACAUUGGGUUUUAAAAGUUAUAUGCUCAUAGCAUAUGAAAAAUACCAAGACUUAAGAAUAUAUUUACUUUACCACCAGUUGCUUAUUAACCUAGUCCUCUGGGCAAUGUGCAACAAUGCUACAAAAUUAAAACACAGAUCUGAUAAUAAAAUAAAAUAAAAUACAAUAAAAUAAAAUAAAUGAGGAAAAAAAUCCCCCUAUACAUCAUUGUGAAAUUCCAGCCUGAUAAUGUAAAUGCAUUUGUUUUGAAAAAUGCCAUUUCCUCAUAUGACACACCUUUUUUUUUAUUUUAGCUGAUACUUACGGAGUAACCCUAGUCCCCCAGAAGGAGCAGAUGGCAUGACAUGCUGUCUUUGCUGACUUCUGACUGGUGACAUCAGUGCUGCUUACUGGGAGGUAGAGGUGGAGGGGUGAGGUGGUAGCAAGGUCAGUGCAGUGCAAAUACAAUGGCUGAGUCAAUCCAGUACUCCCGGUGGGGCAUUUGUACUGUGCUGACCUCCUCAUCACCUUGUCUCUGCUCCUCUACCUCUGGGGAGCAGUGGCAACACAGGUGAGUGUGUCGUCACUUCUUGCCACCUGCAGGUGGCUUCCGAGUAGGGGCAGCUGGAUCAUGUACACCUCCCUCUCCACGCGUAGAGAAAAAGACCUCCACCCACAAGGCCUCCUUGCUGAUGUGGUGAGAAUCUCAGCUGCCACCACUCCUCUGUCAGAGGAUGGUGCUCCAGAGAUGGUAGGGUCUGAAAAGGAGCAUGUUCUUGGCAAAUUGGGGGAGGCCUUGAAUCUGUGGGAUCCAAAGAUCUCCCAUUCCCCUGCCAUGCUCUGGCAGGGAUACAAACUAUACUGGCCCUUGAGCUGACAUAGUUUUUUCCCAUUCCACUGAAACCAACAGGAUGUUUUUUGUUUGUUUUUUAAAGGUUCAAUUGAGAAAGAAAAGAACCAAAAAGGUAAAAAGCCACAUUUCUACCUGGGUCAGGGUAAGCCCAAGAGGGCUUAGGAAGUGACAGUUCCUCUGCCAUGGAGUCUUCCCACUAACAUCUCAGUAGGGUUGGCCUGUCAGUGUAAAACUCUAUGAUCCUAGGGAUUCUAGGGAGUAAACCCGCCUGGAUUCAGUGGUGCUUACUUCUAAGUAAACACGCUGAGGACUGCAUGCAAAAUAACCAGAUCUUUAUAAAUGACAGCGAUAGCAUUUAGGAUAGUGCAUAAUGAUGCUCAUUGUGAUUGUUGGUGUAUUCCCGGAACGCCAGAAUAUUUUGUAUUAAUUUAAAAAUUCAUCAAAAGUCCUCUCCAUGUCAAGGUGAUGCAGCAACCACCGACAAAAGAAGAAGGCCACAUUUCUGCCUUUUCUGCCAAUUAUUGCUUGUUGUCAUUGGGAAAUG
rnacentral:lncRNA from 1 species